GACGAACGCUGGCGGCGUGCCUAAUACAUGCAAGUCGAGCGAACCAAUAAGAAGCUUGCUUUUUGUUGGUUAGCGGCGGACGGGUGAGUAACACGUGGGUAACCUGCCUGUAAGACCGGGAUAACUCCGGGAAACCGGUGCUAAUACCGGAUAGAUUAUCUUUCCGCAUGGAGAGAUAAGGAAAGAUGGCUAUUGCCAUCACUUACAGAUGGGCCCGCGGCGCAUUAGCUAGUUGGUGAGGUAACGGCUCACCAAGGCGACGAUGCGUAGCCGACCUGAGAGGGUGAUAGGCCACACUGGGACUGAGACACGGCCCAGACUCCUACGGGAGGCAGCAGUAGGGAAUCUUCCGCAAUGGACGAAAGUCUGACGGAGCAACGCCGCGUGAGCGAAGAAGGUCUUCGGAUCGUAAAGCUCUGUUGUUAGGGAAGAACAAGUAUCGGAGGAAAUGCCGGUACCCUGACGGUACCUGACGAGAAAGCCACGGCUAACUACGUG
rnacentral:rRNA from 1 species